UUUGACUAUGGGAAUGAAGUUCUCCCUUAGUGAUGAAACUAAAACCGCUGAUUUGGCUGAUGACUUCUGCAUUUUG
rfam:Ruminococcus torques CAG:61 genomic scaffold, scf53